UACGUAUGGAGCAAGCGUUAUCCGGAUUUACUGGGCGUAAAGGGAGCGUAGGCGGCCUGCCAAGUCUGAUGUGAAAUACCGGGGCUCAACCCCGGGGCUGCAUUGGAAACUGGCAGGCUGGAGUGCCGGAGAGGCAGGCGGAAUUCCUAGUGUAGCGGUGAAAUGCGUAGAUAUUAGGAGGAACAUCAGUGGCGAAGGCGACUAUCUGGACAGCAACUGACACUGAGGCACGAAAGCGUGGGGAGCAAACAGG
rnacentral:rRNA from 1 species